AAAUCAUUCCAUUCCUAUUCCACGCCUCCUCCUCCUCUCCUUUUAUUAUUUGGCGCAUUAAAGGAUAUACCUUUCAUGAUACAAAUAAAAUCUCAAGGGAUGAAUCUUAUCCCUUGAUAAGGUCAACUCUAAUCAUGCGCCUCAUCAUAGGAUCAUGCCAUGUGUCAUGACGCCAUCAUUUAAAGCAAUUAACCCCUUAAUCAAAUUAAGAUAAAUUCACUUAUAUGGCGCCUCACCCUAGAUGCAUGCCAUGUGUCACCAUGCGCCAUUAAUUUGAUGAGAUUAGAUCCUAAUCUAAUUAGGAUAAAUCCUAUCAUAUGGCGCUAGACACAAGAUGAUGACAAGUGUCAUUUGAUCCCUUACUUUAAGGGAUUCAUUUUAAUCUGAUUAGAAUAUUUGUAGGCGCCAUUUUUAAAGCCCAUGCAUCCUCUUUCCUUUAUGCCAACAAUUGACUAAAAAUAGAUAAGAGCGCCAUGCAUCAAGGGAAAGUGAUGUGUCAAUUCCUUCACCAAGAAGGAAAGAUGGGUUCCUAAAUUGUUAGGAAUUGAUCUCUUUUUCAAAUUUCAAACUUUUGAACUUAGAAUCCUUAUCAGAUAAGGAC
rnacentral:lncRNA from 1 species